GCUGGGCAUGGUGGCUUAUGCCUGUAAUCCCAGAACUUUGGGAAGCUGAGGUAGGAGGAUCACCUGAGGUCAGGAGUUCAAGACCAGCCUGACCAACAUGGUGAAACCCUGUCUCUA
ensembl:misc_RNA Metazoa_SRP Metazoan signal recognition particle RNA